UACGUAGGGGGCAAGCGUUGUCCGGAUUUAUUGGGCGUAAAGAGCGUGUAGGCGGCUAGGUAGGUCGGUUGUGAAAACUCGAGGCUCAACCUCGAGACGCCGGUGGAAACCAUCUAGCUAGAGUCCGGAAGAGGAGAGUGGAAUUCCUGGUGUAGCGGUGAAAUGCGCAGAUAUCAGGAAGAACACCCGUGGCGAAGGCGGCUCUCUGGGACGUGACUGACGCUGAGACGCGAAAGCGUGGGGAGCGAACAGG
rnacentral:rRNA from 1 species